UCUGACAGAACAUAUUAAGAAAAGUAUUUCAAAGAAAUUCUUUCUAAUAAUCCGUCCAUAUAUUAAAUGGUAUGGGGACAGCAGAGACUACUAGGGUAUAGUACUUCCUAGUAAAGGCAAUCUCUCUUUGCUAUUUUAUUAGGUGCCGGUCCUUUCAUUCCAUUACAUUCAUUCUUUUUGGUCCCGUAGAUAGGAAAGAUGCAAGAGAUUCUUCAUUCGACACUCUGUUCAGCAGCCUUUCUCGAUAAAAAAAAGAACGAAAUAAAUACAUAAUGAGGAUCACAAUCAUCUAAAAGCAAGACCAAGCACUCAAUAGCUCCAUCUUGGUAGCCGAUCUAAUUCAUACGUAACCGAGAGUAGUUCCCACCAGACAGACACCGACCUGUGACCAUUGUCGAUGAUUUGACUUUAAGAGUCGCCAGUUUGUGUUUUUAAUUGGUUGCACCAACGCAACCGAAAAGGUUUGCACAUUGACCCAGUGUUAUGACACUGUUAAAUGGG
rnacentral:lncRNA from 1 species